AACGAACGCUGGCGGCGUGCUUAAGACAUGCAAGUCGCACGGGACUAUUUGAGUAGCAAUACAAGAAUAGUUUAGUGGCGCACGGGUGAGUAACACGUGAAUGACAUGCCCUGCAGAGGGGGAUAGCCCAGGGAAAAUUGGAUUAAUACCCCAUGGUAUCGCGAGAUUAAAGGUGGCCGCAAGGCUGUCGCUGCAGGAUUGGUUCGCGCCCUAUCAGCUUGUUGGUGCGGUAACGGCUCACCAAGGCUACGACGGGUACCUGGUCUGAGAGGACGAUCAGGCACACUGGAACUGAGACACGGUCCAGACACCUACGGGUGGCAGCAGUCGAGAAUAAUUCACAAUGGGGGCAACCCUGAUGGUGCAACGCCGCGUGGAGGAUGAAGGUCUUCGGAUUGUAAACUCCUGUCAUCCGGGAGUAAGACCUGGCGAUGAAUAGUCGACAGGGUUGAUAGUACCGGAAGAGGAAGGGACGGCUAACUUCGUGCCAGCAGCCGCCGUAA
rnacentral:rRNA from 1 species